rnacentral:lncRNA from 10 species
CUCUAAUAGUCUAUCUAAUGACUUGAUGUACAGACAGUCUCUGACUUACAAUUGUUUAACUUAGAGUUUUUGACUUUACAAGGGUGAGAAAGCAUGUGUAUUCAGUAGAACCCACACUUUAAAUUUUGAAUUUUGAUUUUUUUCCCUGGCUAGUGAUAUGCAAUGCAAGACUCCCAAGAUUCUGGGCAGUGGCAGGGAGGUGCAGCUUCUAGUCUGCCGCAUGAUCACAAUGAAAGCCUGACAGGUUUCUUCGGAAAAGUGGCCAUCCAUGGAAUGAAUGAAAUGUUCUCUUUCUAUUCCACCUCUAGAGACCAUCAAAAAACAAUGGCUCAUAAUGCUUUUAGAACAGAAACUGAAGUUGUAUACUGUGCAUAUGUAAUCCUACACAAGAGGAAGGCAAUGUUUAAAGCUGCUGUCACCUCUUAGGGAAAAAACUGGAAUUCUGAGUCAAGGGAUUGCAGUGGCAAAGCUAGGCUAGGUCUUGGAGGCUGGUGUAAGGCGAUGUGGGUGAAGGCAGGAGGCUGAUGGAAAGACUGGGGGGAAGAAAAGCCGAAAUGGAUUCACGGUGCCUUGGAUGAAGGACGAGAGGGGAACUGCAAGCUCCUUCAACUGGUUCUGUCCGGUGAGAAGUGAUCAAGCUUGGGCUGACAAGAGGCUCAGGGAGCCCUCACGUUCUUUCGCUUUUUUACCUGCCAAUCAAACUGCUACAAGACAACACCCUGAUCUGGCAUGGACAU